UACGGGGGGGGCAAGCGUUGUUCGGAAUUACUGGGCGUAAAGGGCUCGUAGGCGGCCAACUAAGUCGGAUGUGAAAUCCCCAGGCUUAACCUGGGAGCUGCAUCCGAUACUGGAUGGCUUGAAUUCGGGAGAGGGAUGCAGAAUUCCAGGUGUAGCGGUGAAAUGCGUAGAUAUCUGGAGGAAUACCGGUGGCGAAGGCGGGUCUCUGGGCAGUAACUGACGCUGAGGAGCGAAAGCGUGGGGAGCGAACAGG
rnacentral:rRNA from 1 species